UACUCUUGACAUCCAGUGAACUUAGCAGAGAUGCUUUGGUGCCUUCGGGAACACUGAGACAGGUGCUGCAUGGCUGUCGUCAGCUCGUGUUGUGAAAUGUUGGGUUAAGUCCCGUAACGAGCGCAACCCUUAUCCUUAUUUGCCAGCACUUCGGGUGGGAACUUUAAGGAGACUGCCGGUGACAAACCGGAGGAAGGUGGGGACGACGUCAAGUCAUCAUGGCCCUUACGAGUAGGGCUACACACGUGCUACAAUGGCGUAUACAGAGGGCUGCGAACUUGCGAGAGUAAGCGAAUCCCAGAAAGUACGUCGUAGUCCGGAUUGGAGUCUGCAACUCGACUCCAUGAAGUCGGAAUCGCUAGUAAUCGUGAAUCAGAAUGUCACGGUGAAUACGUUCCCGGGCCU
rnacentral:rRNA from 1 species